ensembl:lncRNA
AAGGAGAAGGAGAAGAGGACCAAGGUGUAGCGUGGUAGAAGGAGAAGGAGAAGAGGACCAAGGUGCAGCGUGGUAGAAGGAGAAGAGGACCAAGGUGCAGUGUGGUAGAAGGAGAAGGAGAAGAGGACCAAGGUGUAGCGUGGUAGAAGGAGAAGAGGACCAAGGUGCAGCGUGGAAGGACCCACCAACGUGAGCUGAGCAGAUAACCAAUCAGGAUGCCAUUUCAAGGUUGGUCUCAACAUCACAGCCAAACUAAAGGAAGACAGACAUUCAAUGACUCACCACUGUCAAUGCAGUGCAUUGGUCUACAAAACCAGAUGAUUUCAUUUGAUGUGUUGUUUAUUGUCAAGGGGAAUACCAUUUUACAAUGUGGAAGAGGAAGGUAAUAUUUGUGAAAUAUUCACCUCCUAAGAAAUUUUCACCAUACACAUUUUAUUUUGUG